AGGGAUGUAGCGCAGCUUGGUAGCGCGUUUGUUUUGGGUACAAAAUGUCACGGGUUCAAAUCCUAUGAACAGUAACAAUAUAUCACAAUAUAUAUUGUGAUAUAUUGAUAUAGUAUAUGCAUGCAAGAUGUAUUGGGGUCUCAUAAAAUUAUUUAUGAGAAUAAAGCGCUCUUAGUUCAGUUCGGUAGAACGCGGGUCUCCAAAACCCGAUGUCGUAGGUUCAAAUCCUACAGAGCGUGAUUCCAUUCUUGUUAGAUCCAGACAGAACGACACUGCG